AACGAACGCUGGCGGCAGGCUUAACACAUGCAAGUCGAGCGCCCCGCAAGGGGAGCGGCAGACGGGUGAGUAACGCGUGGGAAUCUACCUUUUGCUACGGAAUAACUCAGGGAAACUUGUGCUAAUACCGUAUGUGCCCUUCGGGGGAAAGAUUUAUCGGCAAAGGAUGAGCCCGCGUUGGAUUAGCUAGUUGGUGGGGUAAAGGCCUACCAAGGCGACGAUCAAUAGCUGGUCUGAGAGGAUGAUCAGCCACAUUGGGACUGAGACAAGGCCCAAACUCCUACGGGAGGCAGCAGUAGGGAAUAUUGGACAAUGGGCGCAAGCCUGAUCCAGCCAUGCCGCGUGAGUGAUGAAGGCCUUAGGGUUGUAAGGCUCUUUCACCGGUGAAGAUGAUGACGGUAACCGGAGAAGAAGCCCCGGCUAACUUCGUGCCAGCCGCCGCAGUAAGAC
rnacentral:rRNA from 1 species